ensembl:lncRNA
UUGUGGCAAUCCUCCUGCCUCAGCCUCCUGAGUGCUGAGAUUAUAUGCACGUGACACCACUCCCAGCAAGCUCUCUUAAUCUCCUUCCUGUUGGGUGGGAAUAAUUAUACUGCCCAUUCCUACUAGAGCAUUAUGACAAGAAUGGUGUGUCAUGUAUAUAGAAGCACUCAGUAAAUGGCUGGCAUAAUGUUAUUUUCAUUAACUGUUAAUAUGAUAACUUUCCCUAUUUGUUAUCUUGGUUAUUCUGGGGUUUUUUUUGUUCACUUGUUUUGAUUUUCAGUACUGGGGCUCAAACCCCGGGGGAGUUUUACUACUGAGCUAUAUCCCCAGCCCUUUUUAUUUCUAACUUUUACUUAUUUAGCAAUACUGGGGAUUGAACCUAGGGCCUUCACAUUGAGUAACAUCCCCAACCCUUCUAAAAUUUUUAAUUUUGAGACAGAAUUUCACUAAAUCAGUAAGUUGCCCAGGCUGGGCUUCAGCUUGUGAUCCUCCUGCCUCAGCCUCUCAGAACGCUGGGAUUACAGACAGGGUCCACCAAGUCAGGCUUUACUUAUUUUGAAACAAGGUUUUGGUAAAUUGCCCAGGCAGCACUAAAAUUUUCUAUCCUCCUCCCUCAUCUUCCCUGGGCGCUAGGAUUAGAUUUGCACACCCGCACCGGGUUUAAUUAUUCAUCUUUGUAUAACUCCUUCGGAAAACUCUGCCUUACACAGUACGUAUGCAGGCUCAUUGGUUGGUGAAGGCCUUGCUGCUUUGGGAGGCAGCAUCUUCAUCUACACAGGUUAUUCAGCAAGGAGGAUGAAAAGGAACGCUGGUGUCCACAUCCCGGUCUCCGGCGAGGUCCUGAGCAGGAUUCUGGGUGGCCAGAGGAAGGGACUGGGCCUGCUCAACCGUUGCCAUGGUAACCGCAGUCCCAGCUCCAGGACCUCCCUAACAAGGGGGCGGGGUCUCGGAAGCCAAUCACUCCUGAGGGCUUCGCGUGCCUCGGUCGCUUCCCGCCUUGCGACAUCCCCAGUUACCAGGCAGGCGCUGCUCCAUAAGGCCACGAGAUGGCGACGCGGAGCCAAAUUCCGCGCCCCACCAGGGAGGUGCUGGGGUAGAACCCGUCGGUCGGGCCUCUGGGUUGUGCUCUCCUGCCCCUAUCAGGGGAGGUCUUUGCUGCCAGCCUGGGAGCCGCCGGCCCGAGAAUGGACUUUCCGCUACUCACCAUGCAGUGCUUGCUCUAAGCGGAAGACCACGCUAAGUCAUUAAUGGGGCGGAAGGCUGCAGGCUGAAGCCACAUCUACAGCAAGGCUGCCCAAGGUCACACAGCUGGAAAUCCUGGCACAGUCAGGAACCAGG